rnacentral:lncRNA from 1 species
CAAACUGCUAUAGCUGGUGGGAUCCCGCAAUGGUGGGGCUGCUAUAGUUGGUUAAUCGUGAAAGAAAGGAUGAUUAAGGACAUUUUUCUUCAGUUUUCCACCAAUCUCUUUAGUAAAGGUAAGUUAAUUACUCCCUAACUCAUAAUUCGAUUCUUAAGCCUUAGAAUCUAUUGUUGUACUCUUAUGGGAGAAUAUUUACUUGAAUUAAUGCUGGAAAAAGCCUUGGUUUGGGUAGAAUCAUAAUGAAAUUGGCCUAUGUUAGGAUUAAGUAAUAAUUCGAGUUUAAUUAGGUCAUUGUUCAUUGAUUAUGCUAUUUUGUAAUUAUUUUAGACCAAGAACAAGUCAUGACAUUACAAAAGGGAAAAGUUCAAGUUCUUCAGAGUAUUUAGGCUUGUUUCGAGGUAGAUACUGGUUGUUUGUUUUCCAAGUUAUGUAAUGUGUGCAUGUUAACUGAUUUAUAGUAUUACUUGAGCAAUGCAUGUGGGAAAAACAUAAGGGAUGAAUGUGAAAUGACAUUAUGUUGAUAAUCUCAUGGAAUGAACCUAUUUAAUCUACUAGUGUCUUCAAGUGCGGUUGUUCAUUGUGAUUGUGAUUGUGCAUGUUAUCUGUCACUGUUGGUUUUCUCUGGUACCAUGUCGGUACAUAUUUACUAACGGAUGGCUCAAGUACCACACUUGGUACAUAAUAUCAUUCGAUUGUCUCGGAUACCACGUCAGUACAUUAACAGUUUGUGUGUGGAUUCUAUAAGAGAACCGAAUGUGUGUUAUUGUGAUCAUGUGAGACAUCUUUCAUGUGUUUGUUAAGUCAAUAUUUCUGAAUGAAAUCAUGUAUGUUGUGACUUGUUAACAUAUGUGUGGGCUUGUAUUAUUGUAUUUUAGUUUCAUGUUUACAUUUUUAUCUCUAGAACUAGGCAAUGAUUCUACAAGUACUAUGGUUUGUGAACUGAUAUUGUACUUGUUCUUUCUUUAUUGAGUACAAGAAAUAUUCAGGCGGCUGCUACAAGACCUUAGUUGUGAGACGCUCGAC